rnacentral:misc_RNA from 1 species
CCACCCUCGCAUGCGAGGUUUACUCGACAGAAGCCUUCUACCACAGCCUUGCAGAUGUUCUGGGAUCUCGACACUUGGAACAUUGCAGCAGCGGUAGAAGGAAAGGCUGCUUUGCUGGCUACAGUGACACUGCUACCGGGCUGGUGGGAUGCAGGUGGUGUAACCCGGUGCAAGCGGCUUGCAUAGUAGAACAGUCACUAAGGCCGGAGUUGUGGAACUGCAUAAAGA